AUAUUUUGAAUUUGAAAAUCAGUAGUCUCUAAUGAGUAAUGACCAAAGCAAUAUAAAAAAAUAUAUAUAUAAUAACUCAAUUUAUUGAAGGAGAUUAGGAUUACUAAUGGGACACUUUAAGAUUCUUGUAUUUGGAUCAAUUCUCAUAAUCUUACUAUUUAUUAUUAGAGAUCGCGAAAUGCAAGACAAUACCAGAUGCAUAGCUGCAUUGUUUUCUUUGCAAGUUUCUGCUUUCAUUUGAACUAUUUGAGCUAAUUGGGAAAAGACGAGAAAUUAUUCAACUGAUUAGCGAAGUAAAUGAGACGUUCUAUUUUAUUUCCCAUAGAUAUUUGAAUUUCAAUCAUUGGUAAACUCUAAUUAGUAUUAAUUAAUUGAGGUUGAUUCAUAACAUUGAUUACGAAGCACAUAUACAAUAAAGAGGUUACAUAAGUAACUGUUUGUUGUUGUGCUUUUAGAAUGUCUUUGAUGCUGUCAACAUUGUCCCAAGUGGAAGACCAAAAAGCUUUGAAGAAUGUUAUUAAAUCCUCAGGGGAUUACGCCUGCUAAAUUUUGAGUUUGAGCUAUGAGACUGAACUGAAACAAAGAUUUCACAUGACCAACUUGAGCUUUGAGCCUCCA
rnacentral:misc_RNA from 1 species